AACGUGAAGAACCUUACCUACUCUUGACAUCCAGAGAACUUUCCAGAGAUGGAUUGGUGCCUUCGGGAACUCUGAGACAGGUGCUGCCUGGCUGUCGUCAGCUCGUGUUGUGAAAUGUUGGGUUAAGUCCCGCAACGAGCGCAACCCUUAUCCUUGUUUGCCAGCGAGUAAUGUCGGGAACUCCAGGGAGACUGCCGGUGAUAAACCGGAGGAAGGUGGGGACGACGUCAAGUCAUCAUGGCCCUUACGAGUAGGGCUACACACGUGCUACAAUGGCGCAUACAGAGGGCGGCCAACUUGCGAGAGUGAGCGAAUCCCAAAAAGUGCGUCGUAGUCCGGAUCGGAGUCUGCAACUCGACUCCGUGAAGUCGGAAUCGCUAGUAAUCGUGGAUCAGAAUGCCACGGUGAAUACGUUCCCGGGCCUUGUACCCUCCGCCCGUCACACCAUGGGAGUGGGCUGCAAAAGAAGUAGGUAGUUUAACCUUCGGG
rnacentral:rRNA from 1 species